CGGCCGGUCGUCCAAUCGCACAGGGCGCAGCGCUCCGAACGCUGAAAUUGGGGGUGGAAUCCCCACUGGUCGACCA
rnacentral:tRNA from 1 species